CACGGUGGGCUGAAAAUCGGCCUCCAUAGAAAUAGAAACCGAAGUCUUAAAUUUGAACUUUUUUUAUUGGAAUAGCUUUUGUUAGGUUUUAUUAUGUACCAAAAUUAAUCUUAGCUAAUUUGGUUGGAAAAAUAAUUAAUUAUAUUUUUUUUUUCAAAAUUAAUGUAUGGCGCGUAUCAGAAAAAUCGAGUUUUCUCCGAAAAUAAUAAGUUAACCGUAAUAUCCUGACAGAUGAUUUUAAAACCAAUUAUUGUUGAUUUUUCCACAUAAUUCGAAUUUUACUACGGGUGCACUUUUUUUUUGAAAAAUCGAUAUAUAUUUUUUAUUUUUUUUUAUGUAUUUUUUUUAUUUUAAUACGGUUAUACUCGUUAUUUUGACUACAAAAAAUGAAUUUGAGUUUGAUCGAACCAAUAACUUACGCGUAGUGAAUUUUUGAUGUAAUGGUUUUAUUUUCAGUUUUCUACUUGUAACUCUUGUAUGUUUAUUAUUUAUUUGAUUAAAACAAUGAGAAAAAGCUAUUUCAGCAUGAAAAAAUAAGUUUUAUAUCUUUUAUUAAAUAAGUGCAUACGGUAGAAAAGUUCGCGUUAUAUUAAAAUAUCCUUAAUAAUUGGUACUUAAAUCAUCUGCAAGGAUAUUACGGUAUACCUUUAAUUAAAAAAAAAACCGUUUUACUCGUACGCUCCAUACAUUUGCUUAGAACAAAAAUUCACUACGCGUAAGUUAUUGGUUCGAUCAAACUCAAAUUAAUUUUUUGUAGUCAAAAUAACGAGUAUAACCGUAUUAAAACAAAAAAAAAUAUAUAAAAAAAUAU